rnacentral:rRNA from 1 species
GAUAAACGCUGGCGGCGUGCCUAAUACAUGCAAGUCGAGCGAACGGACGAGAAGCUUGCUUCUCUGAUGUUAGCGGCGGACGGGUGAGUAACACGUGGAUAACCUACCUAUAAGACUGGGAUAACUUCGGGAAACCGGAGCUAAUACCGGAUAAUAUUUUGAACCGCAUGGUUCAAAAGUGAAAGACGGUCUUGCUGUCACUUAUAGAUGGAUCCGCGCUGCAUUAGCUAGUUGGUAAGGUAACGGCUUACCAAGGCAACGAUGCAUAGCCGACCUGAGAGGGUGAUCGGCCACACUGGAACUGAGACACGGUCCAGACUCCUACGGGAGGCAGCAGUAGGGAAUCUUCCGCAAUGGGCGAAAGCCUGACGGAGCAACGCCGCGUGAGUGAUGAAGGUCUUCGGAUCGUAAAACUCUGUUAUUAGGGAAGAACAUAUGUGUAAGUAACUGUGCACAUCUUGACGGUACCUAAUCAGAAAGCCACGGCUAACUACGUGCCAGCAGCCGCGGUAAUACGUAGGUGGCAAGCGUUAUCCGGAAUUAUUGGGCGUAAAGCGCGCGUAGGCGGUUUUUUAAGUCUGAUGUGAAAGCCCACGGCUCAACCGUGGAGGGUCAUUGGAAACUGGAAAACUUGAGUGCAGAAGAGGAAAGUGGAAUUCCAUGUGUAGCGGUGAAAUGCGCAGAGAUAUGGAGGAACACCAGUGGCGAAGGCGACUUUCUGGUCUGUAACUGACGCUGAUGUGCGAAAGCGUGGGGAUCAAACAGGAUUAGAUACCCUGGUAGUCCACGCCGUAAACGAUGAGUGCUAAGUGUUAGGGGGUUUCCGCCCCUUAGUGCUGCAGCUAACGCAUUAAGCACUCCGCCUGGGGAGUACGACCGCAAGGUUGAAACUCAAAGGAAUUGACGGGGACCCGCACAAGCGGUGGAGCAUGUGGUUUAAUUCGAAGCAACGCGAAGAACCUUACCAAAUCUUGACAUCCUUUGACGACUCUAGAGAUAGAGCCUUCCCCUUCGGGGGACAAAGUGACAGGUGGUGCAUGGUUGUCGUCAGCUCGUGUCGUGAGAUGUUGGGUUAAGUCCCGCAACGAGCGCAACCCUUAAGCUUAGUUGCCAUCAUUAAGUUGGGCACUCUAAGUUGACUGCCGGUGACAAACCGGAGGAAGGUGGGGAUGACGUCAAAUCAUCAUGCCCCUUAUGAUUUGGGCUACACACGUGCUACAAUGGACAAUACAAAGGGCAGCGAAACCGCGAGGUCAAGCAAAUCCCAUAAAGUUGUUCUCAGUUCGGAUUGUAGUCUGCAACUCGACUACAUGAAGCUGGAAUCGCUAGUAAUCGUAGAUCAGCAUGCUACGGUGAAUACGUUCCCGGGUCU